GACGAACGCUGGCGGCGUGCUUAACACAUGCAAGUCGAACGAUGAAGCCUUUCGGGGUGGAUUAGUGGCGAACGGGUGAGUAACACGUGGGCAAUCUGCCCUGUACUUUGGGAUAAGCCUUGGAAACGGGGUCUAAUACCGGAUAUCACAUUCCCUCGCAUGGGGUUUGUUGAAAGUUCUGGCGGUACAGGAUGAGCCCGCGGCCUAUCAGCUUGUUGGUGGGGUAAUGGCCUACCAAGGCGACGACGGGUAGCCGGCCUGAGAGGGUGACCGGCCACACUGGGACUGAGACACGGCCCAGACUCCUACGGGAGGCAGCAGUGGGGAAUAUUGCACAAUGGGCGAAAGCCUGAUGCAGCGACGCCGCGUGAGGGAUGACGGCCUUCGGGUUGUAAACCUCUUUCGCCAGGGACGAAGCGCAAGUGACGGUACCUGGAUAAGAAGCACCGGCUAACUACGUGCCAGCAGCCGCGGUAAUACGUAGGGUGCAAGCGUUGUCCGGAAUUAUUGGGCGUAAAGAGCUCGUAGGCGGUUUGUCGCGUCGGCUGUGAAAACUGGAGGCUUAACCUUCAGCGUGCAGUCGAUACGGGCAGACUUGAGUUCGGUAGGGGAGACUGGAAUUCCUGGUGUAGCGGUGAAAUGCGCAGAUAUCAGGAGGAACACCGGUGGCGAAGGCGGGUCUCUGGG
rnacentral:rRNA from 1 species